rnacentral:rRNA from 1 species
CCCUUAGAUGUCCUGGGCCGCACGCGCGUUACACUGAUGCAUUCAACGAGCUUAUAACCUUGGCCGAGAGGCCUGGGCAAUCUUGUUAACGUGCAUCGUGAUAGGGAUAGAUUAUUGAAAUUAUUAAUCUUGAACGAGGAAUUCCUAGUAAACGCAGAUCAUCAAUCUGCAUUGAUUACGUCCCUGCCCUUUGUACACACCGCCCGUCGCACCUACCGAUUGGGUGAGCCGAUGAAACUCUCGGAUGUAGGCUAUUCAUAGCCCGCAGAAGAGAUUUGAAUCGUAGCGCUUAGAGGAAGGAGAAGUCGUAACA